UACGUAGGGCGCAAGCGUUGUCCGGAAUUAUUGGGCGUAAAGAGCUCGUAGGCGGCUUGUCACGUCGGGUGUGAAAGCCCGGGGCUUAACCCCGGGUCUGCAUUCGAUACGGGCAGACUAGAGGUAGGUAGGGGAGAAUGGAAUUCCCGGUGUAGCGGUGAAAUGCGUAGAUAUUGGGAAGAACACCUGAGGCGAAGGCGGGUUGCUGGGCCGACACUGACGCUGAGGCGCGAAAGCCAGGGGAGCGAACGGG
rnacentral:rRNA from 1 species